UACGUAGGGGGGCAAGCGUUGUCCGGAAUCAUUGGGCGUAAAGCGCGCGUAGGCGGCCCGGUAAGUCCGCUGUAAAAGUCAGGGGCUCAACCCUUGAACGCCGGUGGAUACUGCCGGGCUAGAGUCCGGAAGAGGCGAGUGGAAUUCCUGGUGUAGCGGUGGAAUGCGCAGAUAUCAGGAGGAACACCUAUGGCGAAGGCAGCUCGCUGGGACGUUACUGACGCUGAGACGCGAAAGCGUGGGGAGCAAACAGG
rnacentral:rRNA from 1 species